rnacentral:rRNA from 1 species
UACGAAGGGGGGCUAGCGUUGCUCGGAAUCACUGGGCGUAAAGCGCACGUAGGCGGACUCUUAAGUCAGGGGUGAAAUCCUGGAGCUCAACUCCAGAACUGCCUUUGAUACUGGGAGUCUUGAGUUCGGGAGAGGUGAGUGGAACUGCGAGUGUAGAGGUGAAAUCGUAGAUAUUCGGCAAGAACACCAGUGGCGAAGGCGGCUCACUGGCCCGGA